AUUGAACGCUGGCGGCAGGCCUAACACAUGCAAGUCGAACGAGUGGCGGACGGGUGUGUCAUGUCUGGGACACUGCUUGAUGGAGGGGGAUAACUACGGGAAACGGUAGCUAAUCCCGCAUACCAUUAGCUGUGCCCAGAUGGGAUUAGCUUGUUGGUGGGGUAAAGGCUUACCAAGGCAACGAUCCCUAGCUGGUCUGCGAGGGUGACCGGCCACACUGGAACUGAGACACGGUCCAGACUCCUACGGGAGGCAGCAGUGGGGAAUAUUGCGCAAUGGGCGCAAGCCUGAUGCAGCCAUGCCGCGUGUAUGAAGAAGGCCUUCGGGUUGUAAAGUACUGUCAGCAGGGAGGCGUUACCCGCAGAAGAAGCACCGGCUAACUCCGUGCCAGCAGCCGCGGUAAUUC
rnacentral:rRNA from 1 species